UCUAGGAUUUGUCACCAAGGAAUCCCUCCAACCUAGGAGUGGGGAAUUCCCUCAUCAUUCUUGACUCCCAGAAGUUCCAGAUUGAACUUUUCUGCUUGAGAGAGAGGCAGGGAGGAAGAGACCCCAAGAGGGAACUGGGAAAAGGAAUAAGGUCACACCCAAUUGGGGAAGCUGCCCCUCCACCCUCUACCCUGUUUACCCAGAAAUAGGGUGGGUAACAAGUCACGUCGGACCCUUUGUAAUGCCAUCUGGAGUUUUCUUGGCAAAGAUAUUGGUGUGGUUUGUCAUUUCCUUCACCAUCUCAUUUUACAGUCCCUAGAAGUUCAUGGUGCACCUAGCUCCGGCCCUCCCUUUCCUACUGGGCUUCUCCUACUGAGUAUGGGGCAAGGUCAGCCCGGGGUAGCCAGAGCAGCAAUUAGCCCAGCUUGGCCGCCCGUUACUGGAACCUUCGUGUCAACUCUGGAACUCUUCCAAUAACCCACACCCUGAACAGCCUGACUCAGCUUGGGUUUGCUCCACCCCUUAACACCUGCUUAACAGAGACUUGAAAACCCCACCCCCACCUCCGGAGCCCGGGAUCCAAAGAAAGGUACUACUCAAGAAAACUACAACUCCCACCAUGCAUUAUUCUCUCCAGAUCCUACUCCCACUCUAACCCUCCACUCUCCCUCUGGGUGGACCCCUGAAGUUUACUUGGGGAUUUUUUGUGUAUGUGAGUGUGGUGUUAAUCUUUCCGUCCCAUUCUAUGGGCUAUGGGCUUCUGGGUAAUCCUGAAAGCUGGGGACUAGAAAAGGAAGCUCUUUGGGAGUGUUUCCUAUGGCAACCAGUCCAUAGAAUUUUAAAAUUUAGAACUGGAAGGGACUUUAAGGUCAACUAACCCUACUGGCUGGAGCUGUUGGUUUGCAUAAUAAAAGUUAUAGAUAGUACCUUUGUCUAAAGCUUUCACAUAAUAAAAAGACAGAUCGCAUUUAGAUAA